ACAUUUAUCCAAGCAAUUGGGAUUUGAGGCUCAGUCUUUGCGGGCUGUUCCUUUAAAUGCAGUGAGGAUAUGGGUAGGCCACGGCUUGUUUCCCAGUGAGGAUGUUUACAUUCGUGUAAAAUAAUCGCGAGGAUGCAAGUGUUGUCUGCUCGAGUAUAUUCUCUGACAGUGCGUCGCAAGAUGCACACUCUGUACAA
rnacentral:misc_RNA from 1 species